AUCCGGUGCAGUUAAUACAUUAUGCAUCUUCUUGAAGAGUUUCCAAGAAAGCGCAGUGUUCUUUUUGCACGGCUAUUACAAGGCUAAACAACUGAUCCAAAUCAGGUGCACGAGUCGUGUUUGGAAGCAUCUCUAGAAGUGCAUAGAAUGAAAAUAAAGCUGAUAAAAAAAAAGAAAGAAGGAGAUCUAGGCCCGGCAGAAUAUAAUCUCAGAUCGUCCUGAUAAUCGUCGUCACAGCGGCGCAUCUCGUGGAGACAUC